CGUAGGAGACGAGCGUUAUCCGGAUUUACUGGGCGUAAAGCGUGUGCAGGCGGUUCGGCAAGUUGGAUGUGAAAUCUCCCGGCUCAACUGGGAGGGGUCGUUCAAUACUACCGAACUUGAGGUCAUCAGAGGAAGGUGGAAUUCCGGGUGUAGUGGUGAAAUGCGUAGAUAUCCGGAGGAACACCAGUGGCGAAGGCGGCCUUCUGGGAUGAUCCUGACGCUCAGACACGAAAGCUAGGGGAGCGAACGGGAUUAGAGACCCCGGUAGUCCUAGCUGUAAACGAUGUAGACUUGGCGGUCGGAGGGUUCAAAACCUUCGGUGUCGUAGCUAACGCGAUAAGUCUACCGCCUGGGGACUACGGCCGCAAGGUUA
rnacentral:rRNA from 1 species